UAAUACGGAGGGUGCAAGCAUUAAUCGGAUUUAUUGGGCGUAAAGGGCGCGUAGCCGGUUUGGAAAGUCAAAUGUGAAAUUCCGGGGCUCAACCUCGGAGCGGCAUCUGAAACUCCCAAACUAGAGGAUAGGUGGGGAAACGGAAUUCCACAUGUAGCGGUGAGAUGCGUAGAUAUGUGGAAGAACACCGGUGGCGAAGGCGGUUUUCUAACCUACACCUGACGUUGAGGCGCGAAAGCGUGGGGAGCAAACAGGAUUAGAUACCCUGGUAGUCCACGCUGUAAACGAUGCAUACUAGGCGUAGUCAGAUUCAACCCUGGCUGUGUCGUAGCUAACGCGUUAAGUAUGCCGCCUGGGAAGUACGCUCGCAAGGGUGAAACUCAAAAGAAUUGACGGGGGCCCGCACAAGCAGUGGAGCAUGUGGUUUAAUUCGAUGCAACGCGAAGAACCUUACCCAGGCUCGAAAUGUAGAGGACAGCGCUGGAAACAGCGUCUUCCGUAAGGACCUCUAUAUA
rnacentral:rRNA from 1 species